rnacentral:rRNA from 1 species
GUUUACAGCCAUACCACCCUAAGUACAACUGGUCUCAUCUGAUCUCAGAAGCUAAGCAGGAGUUAGGCCUGGUUAGUAACUAGAUGGAGGACAACUUGAGAAAAAAUUAUUCAUAACA